AGUGAACGCUGGCGGUAGGCCUAACACAUGCAAGUCGAACGGCAGCACAGAGGAGCUUGCUCCUUGGGUGGCGAGUGGCGGACGGGUGAGGAAUACAUCGGAAUCUACUCUGUCGUGGGGGAUAACGUAGGGAAACUUACGCUAAUACCGCAUACGACCUACGGGUGAAAGCAGGGGACCUUCGGGCCUUGCGCGAUUGAAUGAGCCGAUGUCGGAUUAGCUAGUUGGCGGGGUGAAGGCCCACCAAGGCGACGAUCCGUAGCUGGUCUGAGAGGAUGAUCAGCCACACUGGAACUGAGACACGGUCCAGACUCCUACGGGAGGCAGCAGUGGGGAAUAUUGGACAAUGGGCGCAAGCCUGGUCCAGCCAUACCGCGUGGGUGAAGAAGGCCUUCGGGUUGUAAAGCCCUUUUGUUGGGAAAGGAAUCCAGCUGGCUAAUACCCGGUUGGGAUGACGGUACCCAAAGAAUAAGCACCGGCUAACUUCGUGCCAGCCGCCGCCGUAA
rnacentral:rRNA from 1 species